UACGUAGGGGGCAAGCGUUGUCCGGAUUUAUUGGGCGUAAAGAGCGUGUAGGCGGCCAGACAGGUCAGCUGUGAAAACUCGAGGCUCAACCUCGAGACGUCGGUUGAAACCGUCUGGCUAGAGUCCGGAAGAGGAGAGUGGAAUUCCCGGUGUAGCGGUGAAAUGCGCAGAUAUCGGGAAGAACACCCGUGGCGAAAGCGGCUCUCUGGAACGGUACUGACGCUGAGACGCGAAAGCGUGGGGGAGCGAACAGG
rnacentral:rRNA from 1 species